CAAUGGACUGACGUGAGGUAAGCAACGGAACGUCACUUCCGCCAUUUUGGGAAUAAGACCCCGACCUCUGUUAAGCCUCUCGCAGUUUAAUUCACGUCAGUCCAUUGGAUUUUGCAGGAGUUUAACUUGGUCUAUCUUAGCCUUCUAUGAUAGACCAUUAUGAUCUUUGUUUAUAAUAAAUAAGGUGCUUCUUUUUUUUUUUAUUAAAAAGGGAAAUUCCGUUUAUUUCUGAAGAAGGGUGUCGACCUGAAACGUCGCCUAUU